GACAGAGGGUGCAAACGUUGUUCGGAUUUACUGGGCGUAAAGCGCGUGUAAGCGGCUUCGCAAGUUGGAUGUGAAAUCCCACGGCUCAACCGUGGACGUGCAUCCAAAACUGCGUCGCUGGAGUCUCGGAGAGGAAGGUGGAAUGCUUGGUGUAGAGGUGAAAUUCGUAGAUAUCAAGCAGAACACCUGCGGCGAAGGCGGCCUUCUGGACGAUGACUGACGCUGAGACGCGAAAGCGUGGGGAGCAAACAGG
rnacentral:rRNA from 1 species